UAGUAGCUUCAUCAGAAACUAACCACUGCUACCUGACCACACAACAUCUACGUGUGAGAAACAACAUAUACCUAGAAAAUAGUCACAGAUGUAAUUUAAAGCUUUCCUCCUAAAAAUUUGAGAAGCAUGCAUCCCAAGUAUAUUCAUUUAUCAAGUUCAGCAAAAUUUGAAAAAGGAACAAAGCAAAAUCUUCACGAACUUGCAAAUUUUUGUUUCAUCUUGCCUGGUUAGCUUUAAAUUCCAAAAAAGCAGAUGCAACAGAAUGAAAGAACUCUAAUGGUUGUUUUGCAGUGUGUUUUACAAAGCGCAUGCCAAUAAAAAGCAUUGCCCUUCUAAGGCUUCUGCAUUUUGCUCAGAGGUUUUAAUUAUAUCUUAACACAAAGCUAAUUAUUAAAAAGGUGUAAAGGAACACAGCAUUCCUGCCAACUAACAAUGAAUUUUUUCUACCUUUAAGUAGUUAUUUACUUAAAUCAAAUACUGAUGUUUAUGCAUACAUGGUUUCCACACUUAGUCAUGACACAGAAACAGACACCCACAGGUCAGCUGACCAACUGACAAACUCCUACCCAUCCACCCUUGCAUGUCCUAUGCCAUUUUCUCAUCUUCAAUAACCACUCCAGCAGUUGAUCACUUCCUUUUUUGUUAGCCACUGUACUUACUAAAGACUUCUCCCACUGCAGUUAUCUUACUGUAUUGAAAAUGUUUAUUUGCACACUUGCCUUCUCUACUAAACUCUGAGCUUUCUACAAGUCUGGAUCAAUGUAUUCAUCUCUACAAACAGUACCCACAUACAGGAAGCACUCCAUAGAUAUAUUAAUUAAACACAAUUCUUUACAGUGGAAUAAAUAUUAAAUAUACUCUGAAAAAAAUCACUCUGAAACUCAAAGUCAAGUGUGUUGUAAAAAGAAUCCAAUAUACUAUCUUUAAGGGACCUCAAUAUAGGCCAUAGGACCUGGGCUUUGUAACUCUCAGACUGGGAUCAAACAGCGGUUUCACUGUGUCCUGCCUUGAGCAAAUCAAGAUUCUCUCAGCUGCAGUUUUUAUCCAUACAAUGGAAAUGGUUAACUACUGUGGAUUAUGGUUGCUUGGAACAUAGAAAGUGGUUUAUUUUCCAUUUAUUGGGGAGACAGAGAACAACUAAUGACAAACUUAAGAAAACAAACCUAAAAUAGCAUCAAGUAACCUACUUUCUACUUUUGGAAUCGCCCAAGAGCCAAAGGUGAAGACCUGACUUUCAUAAAAUAAACAUGUUUUAUUUGUAGGUACAUGGUUGCGUACUUUACAAAGUGAACAGCCAGCUCUACGCAGCGGUCCAGGUAUCGACAGUGGGAAACUGUCAGAAACAGCAUGAGAAUGUUCCAUUUUUACCGAUAUUCCUGAAUCUUCUUGCCUCUCUGGACAUAAAGUGGACCAAGUGGUACUGACUCAGUGAAGGCUCUUGGCUACUGCGGUUUGUAUGGAAGCCGCAUCUCUAUAGCCUGUAAGUCAGGGAAGCAGGAAAGGGCUGCUGACAGGAAUGGACUGGGCUGUUUUCUAAAAAAAAAAAAAAAAAUUACUUGGCCUUGACUUCAGGAAUACCUCCAUCCUUGUGGAAGACUCCUUAAUUUUUCCUAAGAGGUGAUAACCUUAGCCCACCUGCCUGUUCAAGACGAUGAAUUGAAUUUGGCAACACAGAAGAGCUACAGUCUAGGAGUCCAGGUUCUUUGUUGUUGUUAUUGUUGUUGAAGUAGGCUCCACACCCAACAUGGGGCUAGAAUUAACGACCCUGAGAUCAAGAGUCCCAUGUUCUACCAAUAGAGCCAGCCAGGCACCACUACAGUCUAGGUCCUUGUCAGAGAUUAGAACCUCAAAUUGUCAGCAGUCCAAAUCUCAUCAAAUAUUUGGUUGUGAGAAAUAAUACAUACAAAGGACAAUACAUGUAAUUGUAUCUAUACCUCUUUCUGGAUAUGCCAUAAUGGCUCUGGCCAAAGUCAGAACAGAAGUAUAAACUUGAAUAACACCAUUUUGGACAAAUUAUACUCUAAUCUUGUUCCUCAGGCUUACAUUAUAUGGAAUAUUGACACGAAAUGUGGCAUCAUCUUUAGUCAAGAAAGGCUGGUGAAAACUGUCAUUACAUCUAGGCCCUAUUCGAAAAGUUUUUCCUAGGUCAUCAUGCCUUGCCUGUGGGCUUUAUUUAUUUAUUUUUAAACUUAUCUUGAUAUAAUUUCAAACUUACAAAAAACAUCUGCCAGAACAGUACAAGGAAUCCCUACAUAACCAUGAUGAAAAUUCACCAACUGUUUACAUUUUGCUUCAUUUGCUUUAGUAUUCUUUCGUGUUUUUAUAUAUGUGCAUACUCUUCCUGAGAAUAAGUUGGAGACAUCACGCUCCUACCCCUAAAUCCUUCAGGGUGCACCUCCUAAGGAAAAAAAAAAAAAACACCCUUUUCUAUAACCACAGUACAAUUAUCAAGAUCAGAAACUUUAUGAUAAAAACACUAUUAUCUAAUUUGCCCUUUAUUCAAGUCUUGUCAUCUGUCCCACUAAUACGCUCUCUAGCUACUUUUGUUUCUAGCCUAGGACCUAGUUUAUGAUCACACAAUGCAUUGGAGAUCCUAGGUCUUUAGUCUGGACCCUCAGUCUUUCUUUCUUUCUUGAUCUUGACAUCUAUGAAGAAGAUAGUUCAGUUAUCUCAUAGACAAACCCUGAAUUUCAUUUUUUUCCCCCAGAUGUUUUCUCAUGAUCAGAUGCAGGUUAUGCAUUCUUGGAAGGAAUAGCAAUGACACGAUGUGACCGUCUUAGAAAAUAUCAGGAAGCAUGUGAUGCUAGUUCUCCCAAUAUUGGUGUUAAUUUUGAUCACAUGAUUAGUGUGGUGUUUGCCAGGUUUCUCCAUAGUAGAGUUACUCUGUUUCCUUUUGUAAUUAACUGGUAAUUUAUGGGGAGAUGAAUUGAGACUAUGUAGAAAUAUCCUAUUCCUCAUCAAACCACUGUCUACCCACUUUGGAUCCAAUGAUGAUUUUCUAAUUCCAUUGCUCUUUCUCUUUGUUGGUUGGAUGUACAUUUUGUCUGGCUGGGCAAGUAUAGAUUAGUAGGACAGAUUCAUAGAGUUAGACUGCAGAGCUAUAACAUACUUACAUAUUAAAUUUUUAUUGCUGACAAUAUUUUAUAAGCACUUUCCUCAGAAAGGCUUAUAGCCACUCAUACUCCCCACCAACAGUGAAUGAAUGCCUUAAAAAACAAAGUUCUCACCAACUCUUGAUAUUAUUAUGUUUAAAUUUUUACCAAAUAUGAUAGGCAUUUCCAAAAAUUUCCAAGAAAUUGUUAACGUGCCAAAGAAAGAAGAGAGGAAGAAAAUCUGAGAGUGUGCAGCAGCUGGAACCUAUUUUAUAGUCCAUACAAUGCAAGACCUUAAAUGAUGCUUGUAUAGACUGCUGGUUCCUUGAGUAAACUAAAAGAAACUUCUUAUAUGCAAAUGAUUACAU